AUAGAGACUCAGAGCUGCAUAUCAAUAAGCGGAGGAAAAGAAACUAACAAGGAUUCCCCUAGUAACGGCGAGUGAAGCGGGAAGAGCUCAAAUUUGAAAUCUUAAAGGGUUUCCCUUUACGAAUUGUAGUUUAAAGAAGUGUUUUCUGUUGAGGUUUUGGUAAAAGUUCUUUGGAAUAGGACAUCAUAGAGGGUGAGAAUCCCGUAUUUGACCUUUACUUUCAACUUUGUGAUACACUUUCAAAGAGUCGGAUUGUUUGGGAAUGCAGUCCAAAAUGGGUGGUAAAUUUCAUCUAAAGCUAAAUAUUGGCGAGAGACCGAUAGCGAACAAGUACCGUGAGGGAAAGAUGAAAAGAACUUUGAAAAGAGAGUUAAACAGUACGUGAAAUUGUCAAAAGGGAAGCGUUUGACACCAGUGUUGUUUUUCUGAAAAUCAAUUAAAGAACUGUUUAUGCUAAGUUGUUUAGACUUUAUCAGCUAACUGUUUAGUUUUGAGCUUUUCUUUAAUGCACUUUUCAGUUAACAAGUCAACAUCAAUUUCUUUUGCUGUAAAAAAGCUUGAGGGAGGUGGCUUGAGAUUCGUCUUAAGUGUUUAUAGCCUCUUGCCUAUGCGGUCGGAGAGAUUGAGGUCUGCAGCGUAGAUCCUUCGGGGCUAAAUGCAUUUGUGCUAAGUUAUAGCAUUUUAUAGACAACUUGUUGACUAUGAUUUGUCUUGUAGCUUACUCGCUUAUGUUAUUUUACCUACGCUUAGGAUGUUGAGUAGCGACAUACGCAC
rnacentral:rRNA from 1 species